AAUAAGUGCAGUUUUGCACUGUUCAUGUGUCACGUUUAACCGUUCAUCUUAUUUGUAAUUUUUUUUAUGAUUAAUAUUUUUAUUGUUAUUAGAUGAUAAAAUAUAAAUAGUACUUUGUAUGUGACUAAUUUAUUUUAAUUUUCUCAUAAAUUUUUUAAAUAAGACGGAUGGUCAAACGUUAGACACGGAUUCUCAUGGCUGCACUUAUU
rfam:Oryza sativa Japonica Group DNA, chromosome 1, cultivar: Nipponbare, complete sequence.